rnacentral:rRNA from 1 species
UACGUAGGGGGCUAGCGUUGUCCGGAUUUAUUGGGCGUAAAGAGCGUGUAGGCGGCCAGGUAGGUCUGCUGUGAAAACUCGAGGCUCAACCUCGAGACGUCGGCGGAAACCAUCUGGCUAGAGUCCGGAAGAGGAGAGUGGAAUUCCUGGUGUAGCGGUGAAAUGCGCAGAUAUCAGGAAGAACACCGAUGGCGAAAGCAGCUCUCUGGGACGGUACUGACGCUGAGGCGCGAAAGCGUGGGAGCGAACAGG